rnacentral:rRNA from 1 species
GACGAACGCUGGCGGCGUGCUUAACACAUGCAAGUCGAACGAAGUGGCGAACGGGUGAGUAAUACGUGGUUAACCUGCCCUCCUUUUUGGGAUAAGCCUUGGUAACGGGGUCUAAUACCGAAUAAUGGGGGAUGGGUUCGCGGCCUAUCAGCUUGUUGUUGGGGAGAUGGGGUACCAAGGCGGUGCCGGGUAGCCGGCCUGAGCGGGUAACCGGGGACGUUGGGACGGGGAUGCGGCCCAGGCGCCUACGGGGGGGAGCAGUGGGGGAUAUUGCACAAUGGGCGAAAGCCUGAUGCCGCGACGCCGCGUAGGGUAUGAAGGCUUUCGGGUUGUAAACCUCUUUCGCAAUCGAACCGGUAGGUGAAGAAGAAGCGCCGGCUAACUACGUGCCAGCAGCCGCGGUAAUAC